AUUGAACGCUGGCGGCAGGCUUAACACAUGCAAGUCGAGCGGGGGAAGGUAGCUUGCUACCGGACCUAGCGGCGGACGGGUGAGUAAUGCUUAGGAAUCUGCCUAUUAGUGGGGGACAACAUCUCGAAAGGGAUGCUAAUACCGCAUACGUCCUACGGGAGAAAGCAGGGGAUCUUCGGACCUUGCGCUAAUAGAUGAGCUUAAGUCGGAUUAGCUAGUUGGUGGGGUAAAGGCCUACCAAGGCGACGAUCUGUAGCGGGUCUGAGAGGAUGAUCAGCCACACUGGGACUGAGACACGGCCCAGACUCCUACGGGAGGCAGCAGUGGGGAAUAUUGGACAAUGGGGGGAACCCUGAUCCAGCCAUGCCGCGUGUGUGAAGAAGGCCUUAUGGUUGUAAAGCACUUUAAGCGAGGAGGAGGCUACUUUAGUUAAUACCUAGAGAUAGUGGACGUUACUCGCAGAAUAAGCACCGGCUAACUCUGUGCCAGCAGCCGCCGUAA
rnacentral:rRNA from 1 species